GACGAACGCUGGCGGCGUGCCUAAUACAUGCAAGUCGAGCGGAUGACGGAGGAGCUUGCUCCUCCUGAUUCAGCGGCGGACGGGUGAGUAACACGUGGGCAACCUGCCCUGUAGAUUGGGAUAACUCCGGGAAACCGGGGCUAAUACCGAAUAAUCCUUCGGACCUCAUGGUCCGAUGUUGAAAGACGGCAUCUCGCUGUCACUACAGGAUGGGCCCGCGGCGCAUUAGCUAGUUGGUGAGGUAACGGCUCACCAAGGCCACGAUGCGUAGGCGACCUGAGAGGGUGAUCGGACACACUGGGACUGAGACACGGCCCAGACUCCCACGGGAGGCAGUAGUAGGGAAUCUUCCACAAUGGACGAAAGUCUGAUGGAGCAACGCCGCGUGAGUGAAGAAGGUUCUCGGAUCGUAAAACUCUGUUGUGAGGGAAGAACAAGUACCGGAGUAACUGCCGGUGCCUUGACGGUACCUCAUUAGAAAGCCACGGCUAACUACGUGCCAGCCGCCGCCGUAA
rnacentral:rRNA from 1 species